CGGACGGGUGAGUAAUGUCUGGGAAACUGCCCGAUGGAGGGGGAUAACUACUGGAAACGGUAGCUAAUACCGCAUAACGCCGCAAGACCAAAGAGGGGGACCUUCGGGCCUCUUGCCAUCGGAUGUGCCCAGAUGGGAUUAGCUAGUAGGUGGGGUAACGGCUCACCUAGGCGACGAUCCCUAGCUGGUCUGAGAGGAUGACCAGCCACACUGGAACUGAGACACGGUCCAG
rnacentral:rRNA from 1 species